rnacentral:RNase_P_RNA from 1 species
CGGCUUGUCGCUGCCACAAAAGGGAGAGGAAAGUCCGGGCAACACAGGGCAUCCCGCUUCCUAACAGGAAGAGGUCCGCAAGGGUCAGUAAGUGCAGAAGAAAAUAACCGCCUCCUUCCAGAGGUAAGGGUGAGAAGGUGAGGCAAGAGCUCACCAGGUCGGCAGUGAUGUCGAUGCUGUGCACGCCGGGAGUUGAAAGUUCAUGUAAACCAGCGACCAAAAGAGAGGGCGGCCCGCUCGAGCUGGAGGGUAGAACGAUAGAGGAUAGUGGCGACACUGUUCCUAGAUAAAUGACAAGCAUCCUUUCACGAGGAUACAGAACCCGGCUUACAGGUUCACUGG